UACGUAGGGUGCAAGCGUUAAUCGGAAUUACUGGGCGUAAAGCGUGCGCAGGCGGUUAUGCAAGACAGAGGUGAAAUCCCCGGGCUCAACCUGGGAACUGCCUUUGUGACUGCAUAGCUAGAGUACGGCAGAGGGGGAUGGAAUUCCGCGUGUAGCAGUGAAAUGCGUAGAUAUGCGGAGGAACACCAAUGGCGAAGGCAAUCCCCUGGGCCUGUACUGACGCUCAUGCACGAAAGCGUGGGGAGCAAACAGG
rnacentral:rRNA from 1 species